rnacentral:rRNA from 1 species
UCUGCCNNGGGANGGGCAUACUCCGGGUANCUGGAGCUAACGCUCGAUAGGGGAGAAGGCCUGGAAUGGUUUCUCUCCCAAAAGGUGCUGGGACCAUGCUUCCAGCGUUGCCCAAGGAUGGGGCUGCGGCCGAUCAGGUAGUUGGUGAGGUAACGGCUCCCCAAGCCUAUAACCGGUACGGGCCGUGAGAGCGGUAGCCCGGAGAUGGGCACUGAGACAAGGGCCCAGGUCCUACGGGGCGCAGCAGGUACGAAACCUCCGCAAUGCGCGUAAGCGUGACGGGGCUACCCCAAGUGCCAUCCGCUGAGGAUGGCUUUUCCCUGAUGUAAGGAGUCGGGGGAAUAAGGGGAGGGCAAGUCUGGUGUCAGCCGCCGCGGUAAUACCAGCUCCUCGAGUGGUGGGGAUGGUUAUUGGGCCUAAAGCGUCCGUAGCCGGCUUAGCAAGUCUUCCGUUAAAUCCAACGAUCCAAUCGUUGGGCUGCGAGAGACACUGCUGGGCUAGGGGGCGGGAGAAGUCGAUGGUACUCUCGGGGUAGGGGUGAAAUCCUAUAAUCCUGUGAGGACCACCAGUGGCGAANGCGGUCGACUAGAACGCGCCCGACGGUGAGGGACGAAAGCUGGGGGAACCAAACCGGAUUANAUACCCGGGNUAGUCCCAGCUGUAAACGAUGCAGGCUAGGUGUUGGCGUGAUCACGUG